AUUGAAAAAUAUCGUACUGCAAAAAAUUAUAUGUAAAAAAUAUUUUUUCAAUAAAAAAUUUUUAAUAUAUUUUUUUUUUUAAUUUACAUCGCAGUUUCAAUUAUGUUUUCGGUAAAUGUAUAGUUUAGGGCCAACAACGAAGGAGGCCGCGACACAAAUCCGUGAGCGGAAAAUGAAAUUCUUACCACUUAUAUCAUUGUGCCAAACUCUCAAUCAAUCUUUUUUUUUUUAAAGUGCAAACAUUUUUGUACAUUUUGAAUAAGAUAACUUUAUUUUGAGCGAUUACUUUAUUUAAACAUGCGAAUUACUUAUCACUCAAUUGUUCGGCAAUCCAAUCAAUAUUUUCCUCAUAAUAACGCGGAUCGGAUACAACUAAAGCCGUAUGCUUACAGGCGCUGUACAAAUGCCAAUGCUGUUAAAGUGUUGGACCAAUCCGCAGUUGGCACCCACAUCACAUUGUAAACAAUCCAUAAAUGUUGCGUAGCCGAAAGUAGGAAAUAUGUCAGAAUAGUGAUUAGGAAGAACUUACAGUUUCGGAAAAUUACAGAGGCACCGCCGACCUGGAGGUAAAUAAAUUGUUGAGAUGUAUUAUGUUUAUAGUAAAAAUUAUAAUAUAGAAACAUUUUUAUUUAAA